rnacentral:lncRNA from 1 species
GGCGGGGCGCCCCCGGCCGGGCACCCGGCGCUGCUCCUCGGGCCCGAGGGAUCCCGGGCAGCCGCGCGCCGGGGCCCGGGGCGGAGUGCUCGCGGGUGUGUCCAUUCGUCCAUCCACCGCCCCCGCCCGCCCCCUGCGGUGGCUCCCGGCUUGCCCAGCUCGGCGGCCGCGCCCGGCAGAUGCGCGGCGCUGGGUCCCGGCCUCCUGCGCCCCGGGCCUCCCGGCCCCGCCGGCCCCGGGUUGGCGGACGGGACCGAGGCGAGCUCCCCGGCCGCGCUCAACACCUGAGGAAACUGGCGGAAAAGUUUGAGAACGAAAAGUCCAAUCGUCUUUCAGCUUCCGCCCUCCCUAUGACACUCCAGCCACGGUAGUGGAGACCAGUGAUGCACAGACUCCUCAAGCUGCUCAGAGCCUAGCAGGGGAUGUGGAACCCCAAAGGAGCACAGGCGGAAGGAGGCCCUGAAGCUGAUCACCACCAUCUGCUACUUCCUCCUCCUUGUUCUCAGGGUGGACCCUCUGCUGGGUCAGCAUAUGCUGCCAAGGAGUCCACUGGGCCAUGUCAGGAACCAGGACUGGAUGCAUCUGGGUCCUGGAGGACCCUCCAGAGUCUCCCCCACCCAGCAGCAGAGGCUGCUCUUUUCAGUUAUGGGCUGAAAGUCUUAGGUGAUUCCCCAAACUCAGUCCAAGACCCAGGUAUUUCCCCUGAACUCUCAAACUCUAUUUCCAUUUGAUCUCAUCAUUUGUUCACCAUUUUUUUCAUUCCAUCAGGGAAAAUAUUGGCUUAAACAGGUGAAACAGGUGGAGUGGAGAGGGGGGAGCAUUUGUGUCUGGGCAUAGAGACAAAUGGCCAAAAGGUCAAAGGUAAUAGAGAGUGUGACCUGUGCUUAAAUGAAAGGAGGUGGAUCUGGCUGGAGGGGAUGGUGAAGGGGAGUGAGUGUAAGAGAACAAAUAGAGAAAUAGUUGGCACUCACAUCAGGAAAGCUUCCAGGUGGAAGAUUGGAUUAUCCUGAGAGCACUGAAUGGUCUUAAAUAGGAGUGUGAAAAUUAAUAAAACCCUCAAUUGGAAUAGAGUUGGAGGCCA